AGAAUUGAUCUGGUUCAGGAUGAACGCUAGCUACAGGCUUAACACAUGCAAGUCGAGGGGCAGCAGGACGAUAGCUGCUAUGUGCUGGCGACCGGCGCACGGGUGAGUAACGCGUAUCCAACCUUCCCCUUAGUAGGGCAUAGCCCGGUGAAAAUCGGAUUAAUACCCUAUGUUGUGUCAUGAGGACAUCUGAAUAACACUAAAGAUUUAUCGCUAAGGGAUGGGGAUGCGUCCGAUUAGGUAGUCGGCGGGGUAACGGCCCACCGAGCCUUCGAUCGGUAGGGGUUCUGAGAGGAAGGUCCCCCCACACUGGUACUGAGACACGGACCAGACUCCUACGGGAGGCAGCAGUGAGGAAUAUUGGUCAAUGGGCGUAAGCCUGAACCAGCCAAGUAGCGUGCAGGAUGACGGCCCUAUGGGUUGUAAACUGUCUUUUAUACGGGGAUAAAGUGAGGGACGUGUCCCUUAUUGUAGGUACCGUAUGAAUAAGGACCGGCUAAUUCCGUGCCAGCAGCUGC
rnacentral:rRNA from 1 species